rnacentral:tRNA from 1 species
GCAGGAAUGGCGGAAUCGGCAGACGCAACAGACUCAAAAUCUGUUAUCGGCAACGAUGUGAGGGUUCAAGUCCCUUUUCCUGCA